UAGAGUUUGAUCCUGGCUCAGAGUGAACGCUGGCGGUAGGCCUAACACAUGCAAGUCGAACGGCAGCACAGAGGAGCUUGCUCCUUGGGUGGCGAGUGGCGGACGGGUGAGGAAUACAUCGGAAUCUACUCUGUCGUGGGGGAUAACGUAGGGAAACUUACGCUAAUACCGCAUACGACCUACGGGUGAAAGCAGGGGAUCUUCGGACCUUGCGCGAUUGAAUGAGCCGAUGUCGGAUUAGCUAGUUGGCGGGGUAAAGGCCCACCAAGGCGACGAUCCGUAGCUGGUCUGAGAGGAUGAUCAGCCACACUGGAACUGAGACACGGUCCAGACUCCUACGGGAGGCAGCAGUGGGGAAUAUUGGACAAUGGGCGCAAGCCUGAUCCAGCCAUACCGCGUGGGUGAAGAAGGCCUUCGGGUUGUAAAGCCCUUUUGUUGGGAAAGAAAUCCAGCUGGCUAAUACCCGGUUGGGAUGACGGUACCCAAAGAAUAAGCACCGGCUAACUUCGUGCCAGCAGCCGCGGUAAUACGAAGGGUGCAAGCGUUACUCGGAAUUACUGGGCGUAAAGCGUGCG
rnacentral:rRNA from 1 species